rnacentral:lncRNA from 1 species
GGUCGAGAUUUGCCAUGCCAAUAGGUGUGGACAGAAGACAAGGCUGCUGCUAACUUUCCACACUUUCAAACUCUAUGAAGAAUUGAAUUGGGUCCCAUUCUUUUGGUAUCUUACAAUCUAGAGGUUUAAAUCAGUACAUCGUGCAAAACUUGUACAAAAGUCACCAACCCGACAGUGAGGAUUCAUCCUUGCAUAAAUGGAUAAAAAUGAAGAACAACAAUAGGCGCGCCAUGUUGAGGAAGCUCCAUCCAGAACGACAUAUACAUAAAUUGCUUUCAUGCCACAAACUUGGAUUAUCUGCAAGGCAAGCUGGGACCGGGCGCAACUGGAGCCAUGUUAGUUGAGUCGACCACACCAAAAGGGGGGCUUUGAUUUUCUGAAGAUGUGAUUGCAAGAUUAUCUACUAUGGUCCUCUAACAAAAUAAGAAUAUCUUCAUCGCUUGUUCCACCGUCAAUUGCGUACUGUAAUGCUGUUCUACCAUCUUGAUCCAUCGCUUGUGAAUCGGCCCCUCUGCAUAGAAACGCAAAACACAGAUAUGAGAUGUGUAUUUGCAUUUUUGCUGCUUUCCGGGAUCAUUCCCGGUCACCAAGCAAAACAGAGCUGCGAUGAUAUAUAGUGUCAUACUAGCAGUGAUUCACAUCAACCCUUUUGACGGAGCAAACAUGUAGUGCAAGAUCAAAUUCCUGAGUUAUCAUCAGGUUCUUGCAUACCUGGAGAGGAGAAGCUUGGCAUGCUGAUGUCUUCCUUUCAAAAUGCAGUGAUGAAGGGGUGUCCGACCCUUUGAAUCAGUCAUAUUUACACUAGAGCCAUACUGCAAUAGUAAUUCAACCAUCCCAACAUCUGCGACACGGCAUGCAAGAUGAAGCAAGGAGAAACCUUCACAACUUUCCUCCAUGUCAUCUGUGCGUGAACUUGUGCUAGCAGGGGAAAGGGGCCCUCUUGGAGAAACCUUGCAAGUGUUUACUGUAAUUCGAUCGAGUCCCCACAGGGAAAAGAAAGCCAAACGUGGUGGCAAUGUCGACAAAGUUUCUUUGUGAUCUUUCUUGAUAGGUCGUCGUCAGCCACUGAUGGAGGCCGCAGGCAGCAACUCGACGUCAGCAGAGGAGAGCAAGCUCCACCUGGUGUUCUGCACCGAGGAGGUGUGCCAGCAGCCGCCGAUGUCGGUGUGCUACCAGUCGGAGCUCGAAUGCCGGGAGGAAUGCGACCCCAAGUGCCAGUUGCAGGCAUCGCUUCUUGGUUCUGAGAACUGAGAUGGAAGGCUGUGCGAUUGCCAGUGUUGAGGGGAAUAAUGUGCUGACGAUGAUGCGCUUUUCAUCAUAAGGGAAGGGGGAUGAAGAAUGACGAGGAUACAGAGAAGCAAGCAACUUGAUUUACGAGCUUAGUAUACUGUAAUACAGCAAACAAAACCAAACAUCUAAUAAUAACCACUGAUGCUCACGAAGCAAAAUGAGGGGGCGCAAUGGCGCAUCAUGUUGCAGAGCCCCAGAAGGAUAUAUGCGGUCGGCUGCGUACGAAUCAUCAGCACCCUGCAUAUUCAGAAACAGAAAAAGAAACUGAGACAUACAUUUUUUAUUAAAAAAACAAUUUUGUUCUUCGACGUGAACUGUUUAAUAAAAGCAUUUUUUUAGUUUCUUUUUCGUUAUGCUUGUUCCUCUUGAAAAGAAGAACGCUAAACUUUUCUGAAGUCAUUUGCUGCGAGGUGAGUUUACUGACAAAUGGAUUAUGAGUGCCCUGUCAACUUGGUUUUCAGAAAGAAAACAAAAACUGUUGCUACCAUCUACUAUGGAAUGUUAGCUCAUCGUCUCCACUGCAAUUGGUAAGAGUACCCAGGAUAUCAUCUAUCUAUAAACAUAAAACAUGGCCCAACAGGCAUCACUAAGAAUCGGUCCCAGUCAAACUCUGCAUCUUAUGGAGCUUUGCAAGGCAGUUGAGUAAUACACGCACUGAAGCUGGGACUGGAUCUGAAAUUUACCUCUGUAUAAACCCUUUAUACAAAUCAGCGAGUCAGGUCCAGUUUCUGAAGAGUCUGGAAGGAAGCGACAAUGAUUGCUUUGCUUUCAUAUAUAAGUUUGUGUUGACAAAGGGUACAUUGCUAUCCAAAAGUAUGAGGCGUCGGCAGCAAUUCAACGAGGAGCCAAGGAGUGGGUAAUUUGGGGCACUUCUUCCCAUCGCACUCAACUCAAAAUCUCAGCUUCUGAAGCAACUGAAAAUAAGGGAGAGAAAAUGCAUUCAGAUAUAAUAAAUUGAGUUCUACUGAAUAUGCAUAGCAAGUCAAUCGGAAUAAAAGAAAUAAAGGAGAGAAAACGGUAGUGGACUGUAUGUUAGGAACUGAACGAGAUAUAUAGUUGGAGCGCAAUAAAUAGAUGCAGGAGCAUACGGACCUCAGCUACUUGAAGAGCCACCGACGCACCAGGGGAGCAACCUGCUCUUCGUAGACUUCUUUGUUUCAGGUUCAUCUGGUUGUGGAAUCCUUUUAUCUGGAAUCGAGAAGACCAAGUCGAAGUACUCCCCACCUUCCCUGCAACGUCUCUGCAGGUCCGGGCAGCCAUAUAUUUUCAGGGAUUUGAGGGCUGGGAGCCGCUGGAGGAGACCCUGCGGGAAUUUACUUAUCCCUGGACAAUUAUAGAUCUCCAAUUCCUCAAGAGAAGUGAGGCCGUCCAUCCCGCCCGGCAGCACUUUCAGCUCAGAGCACGACACCAACCCGAGAUGCCUCAGCUUUGCCAGAUCUCCAAGGUUUGAAGGCAGCGCCACCAAACUUCCGCAAUAGAAAAUAUCCAAUUCCUCAAGAGAAGUGAGGCCGUCCAUCCCGCCCGGCAGCACUUUCAGCUCAGAGCACGACACCAACCCGAGAUGCCUCAGCUUUGCCAGAUCUCCAAGGUUUGAAGGCAGCGCCACCAAACUAACGCACCGGCGAAUGUCCAUUUUCUCAAGUAAAGCGGGCAACUUUGGAAUCUCCAACAAGCUACGGCAGGAUCGUAUUUGUAACAUUUCCAACCGGGGCAGCGGAAGGAAUUCCUCAGAGGAUGAUCCCUUCCCCUCUAGUUUGCUGCACCAAUGAAUCUCUAGAGAUUGAAGGCGAACAAAACAUCGGAACUCCUCCACUGGCCAGCGGACAAUAUUGUCGCAUGAAAAGAUUUCCGAAUGUUCCACGAAUGCCAAACAAUCCCCAAGCCCCAGUUGUAAUUUGGAUGAGUUGAACAUUGAUAUGAAGCCAUUGUUACCUUGUACAGCCAAACGUCUAAGGGUGCGUAGAGGUCUUUGGCUUUGGUUUUGAUGGUCCUUCACAGGCAUCACCACGUUUACCAGCCUCCCAAACGUCAAGUGGAUAAGAGAUGGAAAAGAUCCCCACUCCAUGCUCAUAGGAACAAUACAAUCUGCAGACUUCUCCUCAAAAGAUGCAGAAGUGAGAGCUGGGGCCUCCGGAAGAUUUACAAUUUUGUUGCAAUUGGUGAUGGACAGCUCUUCUAGCUGGGGAAACAUCACCAAGCUAUUAGGUUCUCCCGCGCUGUUUUCUGCCCAUCUCUCAAACUCCGGCAGUUUAUGCAACCGCAUCAUCUUUAACUUGGGGAAAAUUUCCUGAGAGGUACUAUAUCCUGCAGCUUCCGCAUCAAUGUUCUUACAUAAUGUGGUCAGGCUGUUCAUGGAGCUUAAGUGCAAUUUCUCAAGAGGGGACAACAACCACACUAAUGGUAGAUCCUUGCAGCGUGGGCAGUCGGAAAUCCGUAGUUCUCUUAGACAACAAAACAUUUGGGGGUCUCUCAUCCAUUGUGAGAUUGCCAGGCCACCAUACCCAUGUAGCUCCAAUGUUUUGAGCUUAGUAUAAGGUACAAGCGAUUCCAGUACCUCUUCCUGAUUAUUACUUACAACCUCAUCAUGCAAUGGAUUGUAACCUACUUCACGUCCCCAAUGCAAAAACAGCCCAGUUAGAUUCUUUUUCUCAUGGAGAUUGGCCUUUGAUCCACUCUUUACUUUCCUCAAAUUGAACAGUUCCAACAUGUUUCCAAGUUGUCUCAGGCCUUGGAGCUCCUCGAUACCAAAGCCAUCUCCAGUGUCCACAAUAAAUGAUGUCAGUGUACAGAGGUUGUGUAGUAGACUAAGCUUUGGAGGCAUCCUCUCCAAUCUAAUGCAUCCCAACAGAUAAAUAUGGGUGAGCUGCCUCAUAGUUUGCAUGCCUUCCGGUAAAAAUUUUAGUUUUGUACAAAGAUUGAGCCACAAUGAUUGCAAGUUGUACAGCAUACAAAAUGAAUUCGGCAGUUCAACAAUUUCUGAUCCAGAAAUAUCAAGAUAUCUUAAAUGUGUUGUAUUUAUGAGCCUGUGGAUAACAUAUGCAUCUGGGCAAUGGAUCGCUCGUACUGAUUUCAGUUUUAACUCCUUAACAUCCUUGCACUUUGGGUUUUGAGCUAAUAAAGUUCGGAGAGAUAGCGAGGCUUUCAUUAAUCCAGUGAUUUCAUCCGAUUCAUCCCAUGGCAGCUGCAUGUGACGUACAUUAUUUACGGAGGCUUUCUGCUGAAUCAACUCUUCUGCAAAAGCACACUCAUCUGUGAUAUCUUUUGCUAGGUCAUGCAUUAAAUCAUGCAUUUUACAUCCAAUUUCCUUGCAUCGACGGAAAGGACCAUAUCCAUCAAAUACCUUGACAUUUACAUCUUGAAUAAAUGACCUCCACACCAACUCAUAGAAAACAAAUUCACCUUUUUGCACCAAAUCUAUAUCUCCCUCUGCUUGAAUAAAAUUGUUUGCCAUCCAUAGUUGGAUCAACUUUUCCUUAUCCAUCUCGUAGUCCUUAGGGAAAACCGCACAGAACGCAAAGCACUGCUUCAUUUCAGACGACAAGUGCAUGUAGCUCAGUUUUAGAAUGGACAGUAUUUCAAUGUUGCCACCCCUAUUGCUUUCUGCAAUGGCCUCCCAUUCCUUGAUUUGAUAUUUUGAGCUCAUCAAUCCACCCAUUGUCUUCAAAGCAAGAGGUAGCCCCUUGCACUUGUUGACAAUAAGUUUGCCGACUGUUAUGAACUCUUCUUGCUCUUCCACUCCUUUACAAAAUGCUUUCUUUGAGAACAACUCCCAUGAAUCCUCCUCACUCAGGCAUGCAAGCUCAUGGGUUGGAAGGGUGCCCAUGAUAGAGGCAACUUUUGGGAUUCGACUCGUGACAACUAUCAUGCUUCCCAGUCCACCAAUAGAAGAACAUAGUAGUGGCUUCAGGUCGUCAUCCCACUUGAGCUGGUCUUCAUUCCACACAUCAUCAAGAAUCAAUAGGAACCUUUUUCUACCAAUGACUUCCUGCAGUCUCUGUCGAAGCAGCUCCAUGGUGUCUGGCAGAUCACAUCUUCCAUUUGUAGCUAACUCGAUAACGGACUUCACAACAGCAGUGGCUUCAAAGUUUUCAGACACACAGUGCCACAUCCUGAACUCAAAGUGCUCCUGAACUUUGCGGUCAUUGUACACCAUCUUUGCUAGUGUGGUCUUACCCAAACCUCCCAUUCCAAUGAUGGGCAACACCUGCACACUGCGCUGAUCUUGCUGGUCGAGUAACAGCUUCACCACCACCGCCUUGUCGUCAUCUCUUCCAAAGAUUUCCGCAGACUCGUCGAGUGCAGAGUGCGUCUGCCGAUUCAGAGGUUGUGGCGCCUCUGGCUCGCGCUGAAGCAGGACAAAUUUCUGCAUGUCCUUCACCAGCUUGUCGAUCUUGCCCAGCACGUUCUUGAGGUCCCUGCUCGCCUUAUCACGGAACACAAGUCGAUUCCUUGAGCUGAAGAAAUCCAGUACCUUGCUGGUGGUAGAUCGAAGGCUCUGGGCCUCCCGACGCAGCGCCUCGUACUGGAAGUCAUCGAGGACGUCGUCGGCCUGGUACGCGGCGGCCCUGAGCUCCCUCAUCCACCCCUUGACGGCGCGGCCGGCCUCGGUCUCCGCCUCCGCCUUCGCCUCGGCGUCGGCCAGCAGGGACUGCACGUACAGCAGCUUGAGCUCCAGGUCGCGGCGGUCGUCGUCGACGCCCCACAUGGCGGUGACCUUCUGGACGAGCGCGUCGGCGGCCUUGCCGAGCACGCCGCGCACCACGGGGAGGAGCAGCGUCUCAGCCAUGCUGGGCGGCGCCCUUGCCGGGAUGGAUCUCACUUCUCAGCAGGCUGCAGGCUGCGUGCGCGCCGUCCGCCGUGGGGAGCGAUAGGCAGAGCCGGGGAAUGGUGGUCGAGGCUUCAAUCGGGAACUGGAAGAGAGCUACUGUGCUGGCUGCUGGAGUGCUGGGCCUCCCUCUCGUCGUCGUCGUCUCAACGAGCGCGUGAAAUGAAAGCUUGUGGGUCUUUUUUGUAAAAAGAAAACCUAGUGGGCCUUUCAAUCAAUCAAUAAAGACAAGGGAAUAAAGUAGUGCGCGUGACGUUUCGCUGCAGUUGGCAGCAAUGAUCCACCUAAAUUUAGCAAACCUUAGGUCUGCCAGUGUCAUGUGAGAAAAAAAGUAAGAAAUGCAAAAUUAAACUGCCUAACUUCUGUAGGGAUUAUGCAGUUUUCUUUCAACCUUUUUGUUCUUUGCAACGUAUUCUGUUUGAACAUUUGUAAGGGAAUAUGGGAGCCUUCACGAGGGUCCUGCAUAAUGCAUCUGCAUUUGUACAAUGUUUCACGAAAACAAAACUCUAUGAAAAGAUCCCUCUGAAAAUAAUGCAAUCUAUUUUGAUUGAGCAAGGCACAAUUGCCUUAUAUGUCCACACGUAGAUCACAAGGGCACAUCUCGAUAUGUACAAUCAUCUUUCAUCAGAAGGGCAGCUACUUCAUGAAGAAAGAUGACCAACUCCAUUUACAAGCUUACUAUACUAUACAUCAUCUGCAAACAAAACCAAACCGCUUGCCAGAUGAUUAAAUAAGGACCACUGAUCCUAAAGAAGAAAAAAAUGGGUAAAAAUGAAGAACAAAAAAAUGGGUAAGUCAGUAUCAAGCAGCCUAGCGCUGACACUGCUACAGUAUUGUGUCCGUAGUUCGUGGGCUGUGUGAGCCUCUGGAGUAUAUUCAUGCUCCAUUUUGUUUAUGAAGGUUUACAUAGGCCUUUCUCGUGUUCUUGCGGAAUGAAGUUUGGUCUCCAUGCACAUGACCCUAGAGCGUCCAUGCCUACAGCGUCAACCCUGUAUAAACUGAAGGUUCCAUAGUUAGAUCAUCAGUGCCAGCAUUUUCUUUAUUCCUGUUGCUUGCUUUAUUUUUUUUGGGUCGAGAUUUGCCAUGCCAAUAGGUGUGGACAGAAGACAAGGCUGCUGCUAACUUUCCACACUUUCAAACUCUAUGAAGAAUUGAAUUGGGUCCCAUUCUUUUGGUAUCUUACAAUCUAGAGGUUUAAAUCAGUACAUCGUGCAAAACUUGUACAAAAGUCACCAACCCGACAGUGAGGAUUCAUCCUUGCAUAAAUGGAUAAAAAUGAAGAACAACAAUAGGCGCGCCAUGUUGAGGAAGCUCCAUCCAGAACGACAUAUACAUAAAUUGCUUUCAUGCCACAAACUUGGAUUAUCUGCAAGGCAAGCUGGGACCGGGCGCAACUGGAGCCAUGUUAGUUGAGUCGACCACACCAAAAGGGGGGCUUUGAUUUUCUGAAGAUGUGAUUGCAAGAUUAUCUACUAUGGUCCUCUAACAAAAUAAGAAUAUCUUCAUCGCUUGUUCCACCGUCAAUUGCGUACUGUAAUGCUGUUCUACCAUCUUGAUCCAUCGCUUGUGAAUCGGCCCC